GGGCCGUUGGAGCAAGCUGGCAGCUCACCUGGUUCUCAGCCAGGAGAUUGCGGGUUCGAGCCCCGUACGGCCUA
rfam:Micromonospora krabiensis strain DSM 45344 genome assembly, chromosome: I